CACAUUAGGUUUGUGCAUUUGGUUUGAACAAGAUAAGAUUUAGAUAAGAUUAAUCCCACAGUGGGGAAGUGUGCAGUUACAGCAGCAAAAGUGAUGUGUGUAGGAAACAUCAGUAGAAAAUAUAAAUAUCAAGAAAUGUGCAGGAGUACGGUUGGAAUUCUUCCAUAUGUGGAGAUUCAGAUGUUGCAUAGAUUCCACUGGAUGUGGAAAAUAAUGAUGUUGUGCUCGUCUGUAUGAUGAAAAACAGCAGAUUGUGGAUGACCUGUGUUGUCUCUAGUGUCUGUUUAGGUCCCUGCCUACCUGACUUCACCUGCAGCAGUCAUCAUGGGCCGAACGCCACACAGAGAUCAAAAAGAGGAGAAGAAGGAGAGACGAAGCAGCAUCACAGCGGGCUCUGCCCUCGACAAAUCCAACGAACCCUUCAGCUGGGAAGAAUAUCUGAGAGAAACGUCCUCCAUUGCAGCGUCACCGACCUGCUUCAAACAG